rnacentral:rRNA from 1 species
UACGAAGGGGGCUAGCGUUGCUCGGAAUUACUGGGCGUAAAGGGCGCGUAGGCGGACAGUUUAGUCAGAGGUGAAAGCCCAGGGCUCAACCUUGGAAUUGCCUUUGAUACUGGCUGUCCUGAGUACGGGAGAGGUGAGUGGAACUCCGAGUGUAGAGGUGAAAUUCGUAGAUAUUCGCAAGAACACCAGUGGCGAAGGCGGCUUACUGGCCCGAAUCUGACGCUGAGGCGCGAAAGCGUGGGGAGCAAACAGG